rnacentral:rRNA from 1 species
CUGUAAGCCUGUGAAGGUGGCCUGUGAGGGUUGCUGGAGGUAUCAGAAGUGCGAAUGCUGACAUAAGUAACGAUAAAGCGGGUGAAAAGCCCGCUCGCCGGAAGACCAAGGGUUCCUGUCCAACGUUAAUCGGGGCAGGGUGAGUCGACCCCUAAGGCGAGGCCGAAAGGCGUAGUCGAUGGGAAACGGGUUAAUAUUCCCGUACUUGGUGUUACUGCGAAGGGGGGACGGAGAAGGCUAUGUUGGCCGGGCGACGGUUGUCCCGGUUUAAGCGUGUAGGUGUGUGUUCCAGGUAAAUCCGGUUCACUUUAACACUGAGGCGUGAUGACGAGGCACUACGGUGCUGAAGCAACAAAUGCCCUG